rnacentral:rRNA from 1 species
GACAGAGGGUGCAAACGUUGCUCGGAAUCACUGGGCGUAAAGGGCGUGUAGGCGGGUAGAUUAGUCGGGCGUGAAAUCCCUAGGCUCAACCUAGGAACUGCACUCGAAACUGUUUAUCUUGAGUGCCGGAGAGGAAAGCGGAAUUCCUGGUGUAGAGGUGAAAUUCGUAGAUAUUCGCAAGAACACCAGUGGCGAAGGCGGCUCACUGGCCCAUAACUGACGCUGAGGCACGAAAGCGUGGGGAGCAAACAGG